rnacentral:rRNA from 1 species
UACAGAGGUCUCAAGCGUUGUUCGGAUUCAUUGGGCGUAAAGGGUGCGUAGGUGGCGGGGUAAGUCAGGUGUGAAAUUUCGGAGCUUAACUCCGAAACUGCAUUUGAUACUGCCUUGCUUGAGGACUGGAGAGGAGACUGGAAUUCAUGGUGUAGCAGUGAAAUGCGUAGAGAUCAUGAGGAAGACCAGUGGCGAAGGCGGGUCUCUGGACAGUUCCUGACACUGAAGCACGAAGGCUAGGGGAGCAAACGGG